GAUGAACGCUAGCUACAGGCUUAACACAUGCAAGUCGCAGGGUAACAUGAGGAAAGCUUGCUUUCCUUGAUGACGACUGGCGCACGGGUGAGUAACGCGUAUCCAACCUUCCCAUAACUACGGGAUAACCCGUUGAAAGACGGCCUAAUACCGUAUGACAUCGUUUGCUUACAUCAAAUAACGAUUAAAGGUUUAGCGGUAAUGGAGGGGAGUCGUCUGGUUUGGGUGGUGGCCGGGUUACGGCCCACCAAGGCGAAGGUCAGUAGGGGGUCUGAGAGGGAGGUCCCCCACAUUGGAACUGAGACACGGUCCAAACUCCUACGGGAGGCAGCAGUGAGGAAUAUUGGUCAAUGGGCGAGAGCCUGAACCAGCCAAGUAGCGUGCAGGAUGACGGCCCUAUGGGUUGUAAACUGCUUUUAUGUGGGGAUAAAGUGCGUGACGUGUCAUGCAUUGCAGGUACCACAUGAAUAAGGACCGACUAAUUCCGUG
rnacentral:rRNA from 1 species